AAGAAUGAAAAUUGAUAAUUUAGAAGUGGAUUGAACCAUUGAUAGCGUAGUGUUUGAUGGUUUGACAUGUACGGAGGUUGGGGAAAGUGGGAGGAUAUUUGAUUUGGACAAUGGUGAAAUCGAUCGGUGAAAAUUUGCGGUAAAGGGUGAAGUAUUGGAUUGUUUUUACAGCGAACAAUCGUGAAAUUAGAUAGAAUAGCAAAAAUUAAUUGUUUUAGCGGAUAGAGAAAACUUUUUGAUUUUGGAAAAGUUUGCAAAGCACUGCACUGCUCGAUGCGUAUUGACAUUUGCGGUUUAGUGCAGGUGUACGGGUGGCACCGAACUCGACUUGCAGCCGUACUUAAACCGGACGGAGCGAGUGGAGUCGAGUUGUACCGGGCAUAUUGGUUGGCACCGGGCUCCGCGCUCGACUUGUAGCCGUACUUAAAAAGGACGGACCGAGCCGAGCGGAGUUUUGGGGAAAUUUUAUUCGCAGUUCGGGUCGGAAUUGAAGUGAGAAGUUCGAAAUGAAAAGUUUUUGGCGGUGAUCGUGAUGAGUUUGUACGGAUGGAAGGGAAUACUCAGAAGGAAUGUUGGAUAUAUUGGGAGGAUGGAAAGGUUGGUCACAAGUAUUUUUCAAUGUGUAAUAUGAAAUGAAUAAAUAAUUAAUUGCGAUUUUAGAGAAAGCAACAGAUUGAUCAAAUUGGAC